CAAGCAGUUAAAAGUAUUCCGUGGUUGAAUUCACGUGGAGGUCAGAGUGGAAGCAGGUGUGAGAGGGUCCAGCAGAAGAAAACAUGGCUGCCAAAGUGUUUGAGUCCAUUGGCAAGUUUGGCCUGGCCUUAGCUGUUGCAGGAGGCGUGGUGAACUCGGCCUUAUAUAAUGUGGAUGCUGGGCACAGAGCUGUCAUCUUUGACCGAUUCCGUGGAGUACAGGACAUUGUGGUAGGGGAAGGACUCACUUUCUCAUCCCAUGGGUACAUAAACCAAUUAUCUUUGACUGUCGUUCUCGGCCACGUAAUGUGCCAGUCAUCACUGGUAGCAAAGAUUUACAGAAUGUCAACAUCACACUGCGCAUCCUCUUCCGGCCCGUUGCUAGCCAGCUGCCUCGCAUCUUCACCAGCAUCGGAGACGACUAUGAUGAGCGCGUGCUGCCGUCCAUCACGACCGAGAUCCUCAAGUCAGUGGUGGCUCGCUUUGAUGCUGGAGAACUAAUCACCCAGAGAGAGCUGGUCUCCAGGCAGGUGAGCGACGACCUUGAGUUCACAGAAGCGGUGGAAGCCAAGCAGGUGGCUCAGCAGGAAGCAGAGAGGGCCGGAUUCGUGGUGGAAAAGGCUGAGCAGCAGAAAAAGGCGGCAAUCAUUUCUGCUGAGGGCGACUCCAAGGCAGCUGAGCUGAUUGCCAACUCACUGGCCACCGCAGGGGACGGCCUGAUCGAGCUGCGCAAGCUGGAAGCCGCGGAGGACAUCGCGUACCAGCUGUCACGCUCUCGGAACAUCACCUACCUGCCGGCGGGGCAGUCCGUGCUCCUCCAGCUGCCCCAGUGA